rnacentral:rRNA from 1 species
UGAAAAAUUAGCGGAUGACUUGUGGCUGGGGGUGAAAGGCCAAUCAAACCGGGAGAUAGCUGGUUCUCCCCGAAAGCUAUUUAGGUAGCGCCUCGUGAAUUCAUCUUCGGGGGUAGAGCACUGUUUCGGCUAGGGGGUCAUCCCGACUUACCAACCCGAUGCAAACUACGAAUACCGAAGAAUGUUAUCACGGGAGACACACGGCGGGUGCUAACGUCCGUCGUGAAGAGGGAACAACCCAGACCGCCAGCUAAGGUCCCAAAGUCAUGGUUAAGUGGGAAACGAUGUGGGAAGGCACAGACAGCCAGGAUGUUGGCUUAGAAGCAGCCAUCAUUAAAGAAAGCGUAAUAGCUCACUGGUCGAGUCGGCCUGCGCGGAAGAUGUAACGGGGCUAAACCAUGCACCG